rnacentral:rRNA from 1 species
GAUGAACGCUGGCGGCGUGCCUAAUACAUGCAAGUAGAACGCUGAAGCUUGGUGCUUGCACCGAGCGGAUGAGUUGCGAACGGGUGAGUAACGCGUAGGUAACCUGCCUGGUAGCGGGGGAUAACUAUUGGAAACGAUAGCUAAUACCGCAUGACAACAGUUAUUGCAUGAUAACUGUUUAAAAGGGGCAAUUGCUCCACUACCAGAUGGACCUGCGUUGUAUUAGCUAGUUGGUGAGGUAACGGCUCACCAAGGCGACGAUACAUAGCCGACCUGAGAGGGUGAUCGGCCACACUGGGACUGAGACACGGCCCAGACUCCUACGGGAGGCAGCAGUAGGGAAUCUUCGGCAAUGGACGGAAGUCUGACCGAGCAACGCCGCGUGAGUGAAGAAGGUUUUCGGAUCGUAAAGCUCUGUUGUAAGAGAAGAACGAGUGUGAGAGUGGAAAGUUCACAC